rnacentral:lncRNA from 1 species
UGGUGGGAUGGGCCGAAAUAUAAGUAACUAGGUUGGGCUUGAGUCAAAAGAUAUGGACCUAAUUUCAAGUUGGGCAGGGCUCAUAGCUCAGGCGGCCCUAGCUAAUAGGAACCAAUCAAAUUUGUAUCAGUUUAGACUCUCUCCAAUCUGAACUGAAGAAGGUCUCCAAUCAUGGCCUUUUAUGUGGUGACCACAGAUAAUGCUCUGUGUAGGGGCCAUUCAAUC